GUGCCACCACUUAUAUCUGGUGUCACAAUAGCUUGGAUUUAAAAACAAAAAACUUUUUUCACUGUUAUAGAUUGAAUAGCAGUUAGUUAUCUUCAAGCAGGUGUGUUACGCUAACAGUGGAUACGGUGACCAGUGCCACCACUUAGAUCUGGUGUCACAAUAGCUUGGAUUUAAAAACAAAAAACUUUUUUCACUGUUAUAGAUUGAAUAGCAGUUAGUUAUCUUCAAGCAGGUGUGUUACGCUAACAGUGGAUACGGUGACCAGUGCCACCACUUAUAUCUGGUGUCACAAUAGCUUGGAUUUAAA